rnacentral:rRNA from 1 species
GAGUUUGAUCGUGGCUCAGAUUGAACGCUGGCGGCAGGCCUAACACAUGCAAGUCGGAGCGGAUGAAGGGAGCUUGCUCCUGGAUUCAGCGGCGGACGGGUGAGUAAUGCCUAGGAAUCUGCCUGGGUAGUGGGGAUAACGUCCGGAAACGGGCGCUAAUACCGCAUACGUCCUGAGGGAGAAAGUGGGGGAUCUUCGGACCUCACGCUAUCAGAUGAGCCUAGGUCGGAUUAGCUAGUUGGUGGGGUAAAGGCCUACCAAGGCGACGAUCCGUAACUGGUCUGAGAGGAUGAUCAGUCACACCGGAACUGAGACACGGUCCAGACUCCUACGGGAGGCAGCAGUGGGGAAUAUUGGACAAUGGGCGAAAGCCUGAUCCAGCCAUGCCGCGUGU